UGGGUGAUUUUCAUCUGAUUGCCUUGCUGC
rnacentral:piRNA from 1 species